AACACCCCAAAAAGGCAGAUGUUAUGAAACCGAAAAGAAAAAACCCCCCCCACUGAAAAUCCUUUUCUCUUCUUUGCCAACAUGUGCACGCAUCUUUUUCCCAUCUGCUAGGAUAAAAAAAAUGCAGUACAUUAUCAUUUCGGUCAUACCUACUGUAGCCUGUAAAACCAUUUGCAGCCAUUGCAGUGCUGUCACGAAACAAAACAUUCAAGAUUCGACCGAUACUUCUGACUUCAUCACUGUUGUCUUGUCACACGACAGUGAUGAAGUGUGAGUUUCUAUAUGUAUCGCCUGCAUUUCCAGGCUUGAUAUUUAUUGUUUUCGAAGGUUUGAAGAACAGAAGAUGAGAGACAGACAGCAGAGACCACUGUGACAGGAGCUCAUGGCGUUACAGAAUAGUACACUUUGUACCAGAGGUGUGUGUCUUCAUUUUCUGCGUCCAGGUUAGCUGCAUAAAUAGACAGCCAGGCUGUGCAGCUGCAUGGAGAUGCUGCUGUUUGUAUCGCAACUCUAUUGAUUAUUUGCAUCUGAUAAAAAUGUCUCGCGUUUGUUGUGUUGUGUAAUACCUUUUGCAACAGUUAAGAAUGUAGCCGUAGAACGGGCUCUUGUUAAUAAUGCAGUAUUGCGUACAGUGAAAUAUGGAUGUAAUGUAACUAUAAACAAAGGCAUAAAUAAAAAUAACUACUUAUGCCAUAAGCAUAAAGAUCUGAGCGUAUUCUGUGCAAGGUGAAAAAUAUGGUUUCACCAAAUGGGCAUUUACACAUUUCUUUAUCAGCUCUCUGCAUUACUCCAUCUACUAUGUGCACUUUUCUUCUCUCCUUCCAUGGAGAACUCGAAGCACUUAAUUAUUCACAUUGUCACUGGAAGUGUUCUUCAUUCUUUUAACUCUUUAGUGCUCACAUAUAGAGAAAGCACGGCCUGUCAGCAGAGCGGCAUGUUAUGAGAAUAAUAUUCUUGCGUGUGCAUCUGGAUCUGAUGGAUGCCAUGUUAGAAAUUCUCCCCUCUUUAGGUGUCGCUGUAUUGAGAUAUUUCUAAGGUCUCUAGCUGAAAGGCUUCUGUCCUCUGCUUCUGAGAAAUGAGACGCUCACGCCUCCCAGAGUUAGAAAAAUCUCGAGCCCCCGGGGAGAUAUACACUUUUCCGUAGUGAACACUGUGGCACUGGAGUGCAAACCUACAUCUCAUUUCCUCGCUGCCUUCAAUUUUUCAUUAUCAUCUUUCUCUGUCUCCUUCUCUCCUACUCACCCUCCAUCUCCUCUCGCUUUUCCGUCUCCCCUAUCAGCUCCACAGUGGCCUUCGCCCACUCAAAGCUUAGAGCAAUGUGAGUGGGAGACUUCUUGUGUGACUAAAGCAAUCAAAAGCACACAUGCGCACAUACAUGCAAGCUCAUGCACAAACACCCGUAAAACAUGCGUGCAAGGAAGGAUUCACAUGCAUAAUCGGCUGCAGAGACAUUCAAACACUGCUCGCGCUCACACAGAUAUAAACAAAUGUGCAGACAUAAUACUUAGUUUGUCAUACAUAUUUCAUACUUAGUACAUAAAGCCUCCAUUUUGCUGAUGCAGGUUGAGCUGAGGCCUUCUCCUGAAGUGCAUUUGUCAUCUUUGAUGACAUUAAGCUGAUAGGAAGCUAGGUAAAUGCAUAAUUACAUGUGCAUUCACAUUUAUGUUCAAUAUACACUCACCAACCACUUUAUUAGGUACACCCUGCCCUGCUAGUACCAGGUUGGGCCCUGUUUUGCCUUCAGAACUGCCUCAAUUAUACCAUAGAUAUCGAUUCAACAAGGUGCUGGACACAUUCCUAGGAGAUUUUGGUCCAUAUCGACACGAUAACAUCACACAGUUGCUGCAGAUUUGUCAGCUGCAUGUCCAUAAUGUCAAUCUCCUGUUCCACCACAUCCCAAAGGUGCUAUUGGGCUGAGAUCAUGUGACUGUGGAGGCCAUUUGAGUACAGUGAACUUACUGUCAUUUUCAAGAAACCAGUUUUAGGCGAUAUAAGCUUUGUGACAUGUUGAGUUAUCCUGCUGGGAGCAGCCAGAGGAUGGGCACACCGUGCUCACAAAUGGACAUGAACACGUUCAGCAUCAAAACUCAGCUAAGUUGCUAUGUUUAAACGAUGUUCAGCUGUUACUAAGGGGCCCAAAGUAAUCACUUAGACUAUUAGAUGAGUCUGACAGAAGGUAGGACGUAUGCAUGCCCUACCAUCUGAAUAUAGAAAACUGAGACUCAUCAAUCCAGCCAGUCUUUUCAGUCUUCUCUGUCCAAAUUUUGUGUGCCAGUGUGAAUGUUAGCCUCAGUUUCCUGUUCUUAGCUGACAGGAGUGGUUUUCUGAUGCUGUAGCUCACCUGAUUCUGCAAAUCUUGGUUGUCAUGAGUGGUUUUUUGAGUUAGCUUCCUAUUAGACCCCAAUAUUGCUGCUAUUCUGGGCAAAUUGAGCUAUUUGUCAACAUAUCUGUCUCUGUAUUUAUAAAGGUCGGUAAAGGAGAAAUUUAAAAAGGAAGAAAAAGAUGAGAGAAACACCUUUUAACAAUGCUGUGAACGUUCAUGCUAUGCUUCCAGAGCUUUGAACGCCACAAACACAACAACCAGCUGAUGUGAGCCGAAUCAGCCAGCGCCUAAACGAGUACUCUGUGACAAGAUUCUCUUGAAACUGCACUGUCACAUUAGCUCAGUACGAACUAACAAAUGACCGUACAUAACAAAUGUUAGGGAAAUGUGUUUGUGUCUUGUAUGCCUGGGAAAAAAAAGAAUGACCAAUAUAUUAGAUUUUUUUUAAAUAACCAAACAUGUGAGUCAGUGUUAAAAAUCCUAUAUAGGUUGGACUAUGCUUCCUAUCAACUCAAAGCAGUACGGCCAUUCUCCUUUGACCUCUAGCAUCAACAAUGCAUUUUCACUCAGACAACUCUUUCUUUUCUUUGGACCAUUUUCUGUUAACCCUAUAAAUGGCUUUUUCGAAAAACAGUGUUUGUUUUUUUAAACUAAGAAGUAAGAAAGCGACAGAUGGAAAAUAGGGAAAGUUAGAGAAAUUACUUGCAACAAAGGUUGAAAGCUGAAGUGGUGGGUGUUGUAAUUAUACGGUAUGUGUGGUAAGCAGUAGACCAGUGAGAGCCCCAAAUAACCCCUUUAUCAUAUUGGCGACAGAAUCAUGUUAAAUUUAGCUGAAACACAACCGGCUACAACAGAGUCUGACAUUUCACUAGUACAAGAAACAAUAUUGAGUUUUAAUUUGAAAUGCAUUUAUAUUCACAACUUUAGUAAGAUAAAAUUGGCUAAAUAGAUGAUGCAAAAGAAAUAAAACUAAGUCUCUUAAUUAAAUUUUCUUGAUGGGAAGCCACGGUUGAGUACACAGGAUACUUUUGUGUCGGGCUGAGGCAUGUUAAUAUUUUAGAGCAUAACUAGGACACACUGCAGGGUGUUCAGCAGAAAAACGAUUUUAUCUGUUUAUACAUGAGAGAUACUUCAGGCUUUUAGAAACUCAGCAUUUGUUUUAACUUUUAUACUCUCUACUUACAUCUAAAGUAAAUAUAGGUUUGAAGCUUUGACUUAUAUAUUUUUAUAUAUUUCAAACUAGUGUUUUCCAACACGAUUAACUGGCUGCGUGGCAGAAUGUAGACAAAGAAGGAAACAUUAUGGGAUUAACAUCUUCCUAACAGACCAGAAAUUUGCGCAGAGACACAGUGCUUCUGAGAUACCGCUGAACUACUUUACAUGAACUUAUUUAACAAGAUAAUGAUGAUUCUGCCUGGUAGUGACAGCUUCCUGCUGUAUUCACACGAAUUCUCCUUUAUCUAUUUUUAAAAAUCACUUGUGCUCUCUGUUCUCUUUAAAAAAUACUGAUCAUAAAGGAGCAGAAAUUUGAUCUACGAUCCCCCUUACAAUUUAUUAAAAUGUCUUAACUUACCUGACAAAUAAGGGUAAUAGCAUCAGCUGUCUUUUAUGCUAACUAGCAAAUGUUAGCAUGUAACACGGUAAACGUACUUGGUUAAGCUAGCUCAAGUUUACUGUCACAGAGCUGCUGAUGUUUAGGAAAUUAAAGUUAGGAGCUGCAUUUUUGUCUCACUGACAGUUACUUGUAUACGACUUUUAAUUAAAAAAAGCUUAAAGUUUUUUGUAAUACAUAAUAAUAUGAUACUACUAUACAGAGUCAAGACCGUUUUAACUUAAACAGGACUCAUUUUUAUACGCUUUAUUUGAACAGUUUCCCUGGCAAAUGUAGUCCAGAUCAAAAAUAGCCAGAGAAAUGGAAAAAAUAAAACAACAAGACAUUAUAUCCCCUGGUUUUGCUUUAUUACUUCUGACUGCUUUCUUUAAAUAUUUUCUGAAUUAAUUAAAAAUGUAAAACUUUUGUCAAUCACUAAAUGAUGGAUGAACUGCGAUGAUGAAAGUUAAAAAGACAUAUUCAAUUCUAUUUAUCUACACUUGCUUCCGGUUCUUCUCGAAUAUCAGCUGUCCAAUAAAAUCAAGACAGAGCAGAUCCUCUAACUUCCUAAUAUAAAGGAUAUUAAAACUAGAAUAUUUCAUAUGCACGCUCAAAUGCCAGCCCCAUGUCAUAUUAUAUCUGAGCAAACAUUUUAGCUUGGCAUCAAACUAAAGUAAACUAAAUUAGCAAUGACUGUGCUCUAGUCAAGUGAGCUUGCUCCUGGCUAUUGCGCAGGCUGCCUCAUUGUCGUGGUUUACUGCAACACUCAGCAGAAAUGAGCCAACAUUAAAAACACCUGUUUCUUUUCCUGAUCUGCAUCCAAACAGAUCUACAUCUUUAAUCUGAACACUCAGUCGUUUCAAGUUCCAGGCUCGCCAUGCUGCAGUUUGACUUUAAGUCUCAGGAUAGCUGCUCCCUCAUUGAUGAUUCGGAGCGCCACGGCCUCCUCCACACGACCUUCCUUGGUGAGAUGGGCCUUCAGGAGAUCCACGCGAGGUUUCCCUUCACAGUCAAAUACUUCCUUCAUCGUAAGGCGGUGGCUCAAGGGGAAGGGGACAGCUGAGGACAGAGCACAGGAACGCAGCGACAUUUAAGCACAGGGACAUCACGGUCACUAUGGCGACUCUUAAAGAAAUCGACACAAUUCCCGACUGUUUUGUUGCCACUGUGCUGCAUUAUUAUAGUAAACAGCACUCGGGAAUGAUACUGACAACAUUUUAUCAAGGAGCUCAUGCAGCAAUCAUAAAAGAGAAAACCCCAACCAUGUUUCGCCUGCAAGCAAUACUGCACAGCUGCUUCAUUUCAUCUUUGUUGAUGGUGUGUGCACUUUGGCAUGAAGACCAUUCUUAAGAGCACAGUUUUCCUUAAAACUGAAAGAAUCUCCCAUGAAAAUGCAAGGACUUCUCUAUCUAUCUAUCUUAGCAUACUGACAAACUAUCCUUUAUGUGGUUACUUGUAUUUUCUGAGUGCCAGAUAAAAUAUCUAAGCCAUCUACUCAUCCAACACUCUCCCUGGAUCGCUAAAGCCUUUGGCCAUUAAAAUGCAUCAGUCACCUACCAACAGACAGCCUGUGAAACUGUGAAAUCCAACCACAGAUCAUUACUUCAGUGGCAGCGAAGGUUAUUUAUUAGAUCUGGUGCCGAGCUCUGUGUACUCUAACUGCAAGCUAUCAGGACCUGUGUAUUUACGUUAAUCUACGCCUCAUCUAGCUUAACAAAAAUCACAUGAGGUCCAGUGGCAGAAUUCAUUUGAAAAGCUAGACACAAACACACACGCAAACAGGUGCGCACAACAUAAGCAGUCAGCCGUAGUACACGUACUAGUAAAGGUAAGCCUGCCAGAUUUGUGCAGAGCAUAGCAAACAGAGCCACUCAGCAGUGCCAAAUGAAAAAAAGACAAAGGAAGAGUCUCAAAUCUCAGGCUUAAACUGAACAUGAUCAACAUGCUCUUCAAUAAUGAAUGCUUGACUAGAGGAAUCUUAAAGCCGCCGCUCGUGGUAUAAUGAGGCAAGCCCCAGCGAGUGUUUUUAAUGGGACUCCAAUUUUUCACAGUGUGCAGCGUGUAUCUGUGACGGCAAUGUGUACUUUGACACUUUACCAGCAAGUACAAACUCAGCACAGUCAGCACGGAGAGGAAGUGAAGUGAGCCUGUGGGGUAUGUGGACAGUGCUCGCAAAGUACCUUUAAACACCCUACCUGUUUAUCCACAGGCUGUCGAAAUGUCUGC